GAUGAACGCUGGCGGCGUGCCUAAUACAUGCAAGUCGAGCGAACAGAUGAGGAGCUUGCUCCUCUGACGUUAGCGGCGGACGGGUGAGUAACACGUGGAUAACCUACCUAUAAGACUGGGAUAACUACGGGAAACCGGAGCUAAUACCGGAUAAUAUAUUGAACCGCAUGGUUCAAUAGUGAAAGACGGUUUUGCUGUCACUUAUAGAUGGAUCCGCGCCGCAUUAGCUAGUUGGUAAGGUAACGGCUUACCAAGGCAACGAUGCGUAGCCGACCUGAGAGGGUGAUCGGCCACACUGGAACUGAGACACGGUCCAGACUCCUACGGGAGGCAGCAGUAGGGAAUCUUCCGCAAUGGGCGAAAGCCUGACGGAGCAACGCCGCGUGAGUGAUGAAGGUCUUCGGAUCGUAAAACUCUGUUAUUACGGAAGAACAAAUGUGUAAGUAACUAUGCACGUCUUGACGGUACCUAAUCAGAAAGCCACGGCUAACUACGUG
rnacentral:rRNA from 1 species